GUCGCACCUACCGAUUGAAUGGUCCGGUGAGAUCUUCGGACUGUAGCAAAUGUCUCCUUAAUUGGCGAUAUUGCCGUGGAAAGUUGAUCAAACCUUACCAUUUAGAGGAAGGUG
rnacentral:rRNA from 1 species